rnacentral:rRNA from 1 species
GACGUAGGUGGCGAACGUUAUCCGGAAUUAUUGGGCGUAAAGGGUGCGUAGAUGGCUUGAUAAGUUGGCAGUGGGAAAUCGAGGCUCAACCUCGUGGAAGCUGGUAAUACUGUCAGGCUUGAGUGCAGGAGAGGUUAACGGAACUCCAUGUGGAGCGGUAAAAUGUGUAGGUAUCAGGAAGAACACCGGUGGCGAAAGCGCUCUGCUAGGCCGCAACUGACACUCAUGGACGAAAGCUAGGGGAGCGAAUGGG